rnacentral:rRNA from 1 species
GGAAUGCUGCACAAUGGGCGCAGGCCUGAUGCAGCGACGCCGCGUGAGGGAUGACGGCCUUCGGGUUGUAAACCUCUUUCAGGCGGGAAGAAGCGAAAGUGACGGUACCUGCAGAAGAAGCGCCGGCUAACUACGUGCCAGCAGCCGCGGUAAUACGUAGGGCGCAAGCGUUAUCCGGGAUUAUUGGGCGUAAAGAGCUCGUAGGCGGUUUGUCGCGUCUGCCGUGAAAGUCCGGGGCGCAACUCCGGAUCUGCGGUGGGUACGGGCAGACUAGAGUGAUGUAGGGGAGACUGGAAUUCCUGGUGUAGCGGUGAAAUGCGCAGAUAUCAGGAGGAACACCGAUGGCGAAGGCAGGUCUCUGGGCAUUAACUGACGCUGAGGAGCGAAAGCAUGGGGAGCGA